GUACUUGAAACGGGGUGCCCCGGCGCGGGCCGGAGAGCUGAGAUCAUACCCGAUGAACCUGACCCGGAUAAUGCCGGCGCAGGGAGCGUUGGAGCAUGAUAAG
rnacentral:ncRNA from 1 species